rnacentral:rRNA from 1 species
GACGAACCGUGCGAACGUUAUUCGGAAUCACUGGGCUUAAAGCGCGUGUAGGCGGGUCGGAACGUCGGCCGUUGAAAUCCCCCGGCUUAACCGGGGAAGUGGCGCCGAUACGACCGACCUGGAGGAACGUAGGGGGAGCUGGAACUUCCGGUGGAGCGGUGAAAUGCGUAGAGAUCGGAAAGAACACCAACGGCGAAAGCACUCUGCUGGGCCGACACUGACACUGAGAGACGAAAGCUAGGGGAGCGAAUGGG